rnacentral:tRNA from 1 species
GCCCUGAUGGCGCAGCGGAUAGCGCACCUGAUUACGGAUCAGGGGGUCGCAGGUUCAAAUCCUGUUCGGGGCAC